UACGUAGGGGGCAAGCGUUGUCCGGAAUCAUUGGGCGUAAAGAGCGUGUAGGCGGUUCGGUAAGUCGGUUGUGAAAGCCCAGGGCUCAACCCUGGGAUGCCGACCGAUACUGUCGGACUAGAGUUCGGAAGAGGCGAGUGGAAUUCCCGGUGUAGCGGUGAAAUGCGCAGAUAUCGGGAGGAACACCUAUGGCGAAGGCAGCUCGCUGGGACGUUACUGACGCUGAGACGCGAAAGCCAGGGGAGCAAACGGG
rnacentral:rRNA from 1 species